rnacentral:rRNA from 1 species
GGUAGGACUACCCGCUGAACUUAAGCAUAUCAAUAAGCGGAGGAAAAGAAACUAACAAGGAUUCCCCUAGUAACUGCGAGUGAAGCGGGAAAAGCUCAAAUUUAAAAUCUGGCGGCUUUUUUGGCCGUCCGAGUUGUAAUCUA